ACCACUUGGUGUCUGAACGUCUGAACAACACAACAUCACGACAACAUCUCGCGUGGUCGGUCUCAAAUUUCUAUUCGUCUAAAAGUAGUCUUAUAUGUCUUUUUGAAUGAAGUUACGAGUAAAUUGCAUUGCUUCAUUGUAAAAAAAUUCUUUCUCUCUUUCACCCGACGAAUUCUAAGUGAUUAGAGUCUCAGUUUUUCCAAAAUCAUUAGACAAGACACAAUCGUACAAAAUGUUCGACGUCUUCGGAUCGGUGAAAGGCUUGUUGAAGCUCGAUUCUGUCAACAUCGACAACAACAUUUUCCGACUGCAUUACAAAGCAACAGUGAUUAUUCUUAUUUCUUUCUCGUUGUUGGUGACAUCACGUCAGUACAUAGGCGAUCCUAUUGACUGCAUUGUUGAGGGCAUACCUAGCAAUGUGAUGGAUACAUACUGUUGGAUCACUUCCACUUUCACCAUUCCUACUUCCAAAAUUCAAGAAACAGAUAUUAUUCAUCCAGGAGUCCGUCCACAAUAUGAAGGCGAUCAAGUUAAAUACCACCAAUACUACCAGUGGGUCUGCUUUGUACUCUUCUUUCAGGCUCUUCUGUUCUAUUUUCCAUACUACCUCUGGAAGUCUUGGGAAUCAGGAAAGAUGAAAAUGCUCGUGCUAGACCUCAACUGCCCCAUCAUUGCUGAAGAAACUAAAAAAGAGCGGAUAAAACUGUUAGUCAACUACUUUGCUUCCAACCUGCACAACCACAACUUCUAUGCUUUCCGAUUCUUCGUUUGCGAAAUUCUCAAUUUUAUCAACGUAAUUGGUCAAAUAUAUUUCGUUGAUUUCUUCCUCGGUGGAGAAUUCAUCACUUACGGCAUAGAUGUUAUCAGCAUGACCGAAAUGGAGCCUGAAGAUCGCAUAGACCCCAUGUCUAAGGUGUUCCCUAAAGUUACUAAAUGCACGUUCCGAAAAUUUGGCCCGUCUGGUACAAUAGAGAGAAUUGAUGGACUAUGCAUCCUUCCGUUGAACGUUGUCAACGAAAAAAUUUACGUUUUUCUCUGUUUUUGGUUCAUCUUGUUGGCUGUGUUGAGCAGCUUGGCGCUGAUAUAUCGUUUAGCUGUUCUCUCGGGAUCUCGAACCCGGAUGUUUCUGUUGAGAGCACAAGCCCAAUUAGCACCUUGCAACGAAGUUGAAUCGGUGUUUCGAAAAUGUCAAAUCGGAGAUUGGUUUAUCCUUGUUCUUCUCAGCAAAAACAUUGACCCUCUCGCCUACAAAGAACUAAUCUGCGAUCUAGCCUGUCGAUUCGAAGGAAGGGAAGAAAUUCAACCAGCAUAAUUCUACAUUAGGGCCAAUCAGCAAUUACUUCUAGACUUUCACGUGUAUGUUUUCAUCCAAAGAAGGUAUUUUACAAAUGAUCCUCAAGAUUCCUUUGAAUUGGACCUUGGAAAACUGAUCACUUGCCUCAUCGAAUAUGGAAAUAAAUCCUGGAAAUGCGAGAUAAUCAUAUCAAUAAUCUAGUAGAACUUAUAAAGAAACCGUUUCUCUGUUGGUGUAAAAUGAGUGUAUGAAUUAGAAUAAUUUAUAUCACCGUUCUA
rnacentral:misc_RNA from 1 species